rnacentral:rRNA from 1 species
UACGUAGGUCCCGAGCGUUGUCCGGAUUUAUUGGGCGUAAGCGAGCGCAGGUGGUUUAUUAAGUCUGGUGUAAAAGGCAGUGGCUCAACCAUUGUAUGCAUUGGAAACUGGUAGACUUGAGUGCAGGAGAGGAGAGUGGAAUUCCAUGUGUAGCGGUGAAAUUCGUAGAUAUAUGGAGGAACACCGGUGGCGAAAGCGGCUCUCUGGCCUGUAACUGACACUGAGGCUCGAAAGCGUGGGGAGCAAACAGG